rnacentral:lncRNA from 1 species
CUCCUUUCCCUGGGCUGGGGCACCUCCAAGGCUGGGCUUCGAUUUCCAAUCCAUCUCAGCAAAUGCCAUUUGGUUCAUUUGGAGGGUACCCAUUUCAACCAUGAAAAUCCAUAUAUGGGUUGUGCCAGUAUUGAAGUUGUAAUGCAUUCUUUUUUUUUCUUUCAGAGAGAAGUUUAUUAUAAAGUUUGAUCCUGUGGAAUGUCUCUGACAAUUCACAGCUGUUAUUUCUAGCAAUGUGUUUUUUGAUGAAAUAGGUCCAACUUGUGCUAUUUGAUCACUUGGAUUUAAAUUAAUAAUGUUAGAGAAAACUUCUGUUGGAGUUCAGCAAACUACUCUUGUUUAAAUUCCAGCUUUUAUUAGAGACUGUGAACAGGAACUGGGGUUGCAAAUCUUCUCGCUUAUGUCAAACCUAUGGAUGAAAGAGGAAAUCCAACAUCCAAAAGAAACAAGGGGGUCCU